GACGAACGCUGGCGGCGUGCUUAACACAUGCAAGUCGAACGAUUUAGUCGUCGGUCAUCAGACGUCAGACGUCAGGGGAACGAAUGGAACUGAAGAAAGAACUCGCUUUAGCGAAAUCUAUUCCGAAACCCUUACGACCGAUGUCCGAUGACUGACGACCGAAUAGUGGCGGACGGGUGAGUAACGCGUGGGCAACCUACCCAUAAGAGGGGGAUAACAGCUGGAAACGGCUGCUAAUACCGCAUAAGCUUUUUAGGACACAUGUUUUAGAAAGUAAAGGAGGCUUUAGCUUCCGCUUAUGGAUGGGCCCGCGUCUGAUUAGCUAGUUGGUAGGGUAACGGCCUACCAAGGCAACGAUCAGUAGCCGGCCUGAGAGGGUGGACGGCCACACUGGGACUGAGACACGGCCCAGACUCCUACGGGAGGCAGCAGUGGGGAAUAUUGCGCAAUGGGGGAAACCCCUGGACGCAGCGACGCCGCGUGAGCGAAGAAGGCCUUCGGGUUGUAAAGCUCUGUUGUAA
rnacentral:rRNA from 1 species